UGGGGAAUAUUGCGCAAUGGGCGAAAGCCUGACGCAGCGACGCCGCGUGAGGGAUGAAGGUCUUCGGAUCGUAAACCUCUGUCAGGAGGGAAGAAGUGGUUGUAUGCGAAUAGUGUAUGACUUUGACGGUACCUCCAAAGGAAGCACCGGCUAACUCCGUGCCAGCAGCCGCGGUAAUACGGAGGGUGCGAGCGUUAAUCGGAAUCACUGGGCGUAAAGCGCACGUAGGCGGCUUUUCAAGUCAGGGGUGAAAUCCCACGGCUCAACCGUGGAACUGCCUUUGAAACUGGAGAGCUUGAGUAUCGGAGAGGGUGGCGGAAUUCCAGGUGUAGGAGUGAAAUCCGUAGAUAUCUGGAGGAACACCGGUGGCGAAGGCGGCCACCUGGACGACAACUGACGCUGAGGUGCGAAAGCGUGGGUAGCAAACAGGAUUAGAUACC
rnacentral:rRNA from 1 species